rnacentral:rRNA from 2 species
AAAUUGAAGAGUUUGAUCAUGGCUCAGAUUGAACGCUGGCGGCAGGCCUAACACAUGCAAGUCGAACGGUAACAGGAAGCAGCUUGCUGCUUCGCUGACGAGUGGCGGACGGGUGAGUAAUGUCUGGGAAACUGCCUGAUGGAGGGGGAUAACUACUGGAAACGGUGGCUAAUACCGCAUAACGUCGCAAGACCAAAGAGGGGGACCUUCGGGCCUCUUGCCAUCAGAUGUGCCCAGAUGGGAUUAGCUUGUUGGUGAGGUAACGGCUCACCAAGGCGACGAUCCCUAGCUGGUCUGAGAGGAUGACCAGCCACACUGGAACUGAGACACGGUCCAGACUCCUACGGGAGGCAGCAGUGGGGAAUAUUGCACAAUGGGCGCAAGCCUGAUGCAGCCAUGCCGCGUGUAUGAAGAAGGCCUUCGGGUUGUAAAGUACUUUCAGCGGGGAGGAAGGUGUUGUGGUUAAUAACCGCAGCAAUUGACGUUACCCGCAGAAGAAGCACCGGCU